rnacentral:lncRNA from 1 species
ACGAGGAUUGAUCCAUGGUGAAUUGAGGAAGAUCAGGGUGCAUUUGGUCCAUAUGUAAAGUUUAGUUUAUAUAGGUAACUAAAAUUUAGAAAAUUGAAUUAAAUUUAUAGUCAUAUAAUACUGUUUCAAUAUAUGGACUACAGAGAUAGAUAACAACUAAAGUUGAAUUAUUACUUAUUAAACUAAUAAAGUUUAAUCUACCCGUUUGGAUGGCCUAAAAUAGGUUCUAGUUCUUUUUUUUUUCAUUUUGCAUAUAUGUUUGCUUUGUCGCCUUGUCCUUCUCUAUUGCCGUAAAUAUAAGCAGUAGUAUUUCUUUUGUAAUGCGACCAUCAUUCCAUUAACUUGAUGUUUUUGGUGUUAUUAGCAUAUACUCCCUCCAUCUAAAAAAUAAAUGUCAUUCGUGUCAGUCA